AACGUAGGAGACAAACGUUAUCCGGAGUUACUGGGCGUAAAGGGCGUGUAGGUGGUAUCGUAAGUCUGGCGUGAAAUUUCUCGGCUUAACCGAGGCAGGUCGUCGGAUACUGCGAGGCUAGAGGACGGUAGAGGCGUGUGGAAUUCCGGGUGUAGUGGUGAAAUGCGUAGAGAUCCGGAGGAACACCAGUGGCGAAGGCGACACGAUGGGCCGUACCUGACACUGAUGCGCGACAGCAUGGGGAGCAAACAGG
rnacentral:rRNA from 1 species